rnacentral:rRNA from 1 species
AGUGAACGCUGGCGGUAGGCCUAACACAUGCAAGUCGAACGGCAGCACAGUAAGAGCUUGCUCUUACGGGUGGCGAGUGGCGGACGGGUGAGGAAUACAUCGGAAUCUACUUUUUCGUGGGGGAUAACGUAGGGAAACUUACGCUAAUACCGCAUACGACCUACGGGUGAAAGCAGGUGAUCUUCGGACCUUGCGCGAUUGAAUGAUCCGAUGUCGGAUUAGCUAGUUGGCGGGGUAAAGGCCCACCAAGGCGACGAUCCGUAGCUGGUCUGAGAGGAUGAUCAGCCACACUGGAACUGAGACACGGUCCAGACUCCUACGGGAGGCAGCAGUGGGGAAUAUUGGACAAUGGGCGCAAGCCUGAUCCAGCCAUACCGCGUGGGUGAAGAAGGCCUUCGGGUUGUAAAGCCCUUUUGUUGGGAAAGAAAAGCAGCAGGUUAAUACCCCGCUGUUCUGACGGUACCCAAAGAAUAAGCACCGGCUAACUUCGUG